rnacentral:rRNA from 1 species
UACAGAGGUGGCAAGCGUUGUUCGGAAUUACUGGGCGUAAAGGGUGCGUAGGCGGCGGAGUAAGUUGGGUGUGAAAUCCCGGGGCUCAACCUCGGAAUUGCAUUCAAUACUGCUUCGCUUGAGCACUGGAGAGGAGGCUGGAAUUUACGGUGUAGCAGUGAAAUGCGUAGAUAUCGUAAGGAAGGCCGGUGGCGAAAGCGAGCCUCUGGACAGUUGCUGACGCUGAUGCACGAAGGCCAGGGGAGCAAACGGG